UCAUUACCAAACAAAGGUAAUGAUGGAAAUUAACAAAAUAGCUUAGCUACUUAGAGACGUAGGGGUUGUUUGUUUUUCGUAAAAAAAUCUCUUCAAACUUCUUUAUGUUGCGUGGCGCAGCACACACGCAACAUUUUUUAGCCUCUUCAAACUUAACAAAAAAAGUCAGACAGUCCCCUCAAAAAAUGCGUCGCACCCUUUUUUUUUUUAUUUAUUUAUUUUUUUUUCCUUCCCUCGAUGAGUGCUUCAUCUCUGACUGGCAUCUUCAAUCGUUGCAGCCUCCUUGGCUGAUGCAGCCUCCUCCCCAUCACCAUCUCCUCCCCGACGUAGUCGCCGUCGCCAGUCAGUCUCCGAUCGACAUCAGGUGAAGCAAAAGCAAACAGGAACCAAGAGAAUGUUGCUCCAAGUGUUGAAUCAAGUUUUUGUGAAGGAACUCCAAAUCAAAAGCAAUUCACAAGGAUGUUAUUUAUAGCUAAAACAAUAUAAUUUUAAUGUUAAUUCAUUUAAUUUGUAAAUAGUAUUUAAAAGUUAUUAAAAAAAUUGCGUUGAAAAACUAUUUUAAUUUUGUAAAA